ACAGAUGCUAUGCCUCAGGCAAUAUUACCGCCUGCAACGGCGUCAGAUACUGCAGAGAAUACGAGGCAGUCAUCUGUUAUCAACACAUCGCCAUCUACUUCUGUCAUUCCCAAAACAGAGGAUCCUGAAAACUCUGUCUCCGAAACAGAGCAUCAAGAAACAUACCACACAGCAAACCAAGAACCCUUGGGACGUGGCCAUAGAACGCGCAAACCAUCUACCCGCUACCGCGACUUUGUUAUCAACUCCGUUACUGCAAUCCCCUCUACUCCCUCUCUCCCGUCU
rnacentral:lncRNA from 1 species